UUUUUGUACAUAUGGUGAACGUGUAAUAAGGGAUUUCUGAAAAUAAGAUUAAUUUUAAUGAUAAGUGAAGUGCAGUGUAGUGCAGUGCGAGUGUGAUGUGGGAAGCCUGAGCAUGGAGAGUGGUUUGCCGGCGUCCGACGCCGACGACGGCCCGCCGGGCUCGUCCGGCAGCGGCUCAUCGUCCGGUACCGGAUACUAUCACAAGAACGGCGAGUGGCGCGGCGAGCGGCGAUUACUGGACAUUACGAGAGACAAGCCAGUCAAGCUGUGCGUUCGAGUCGCGGUCCCCGUCAGGGACCACCCCAAGUUCAACUUCGUCGGCAAGCUGUUGGGGCCAAAAGGCAACUCUCUGAAGAGGUUACAAGAAGAUACGCUAUGCAAGAUGGCCGUGCUCGGCCGUGGAUCCAUGAAAGACAGACAGAAGGAAGAAGAGCUCCGCGUGUCUGGCGACCCGAAGUUCUCCCACUUAGCUGAAGAGCUCCACGUUGAAGUGAGCGCGUUCGCCACGCCCGCCGAGGCGCAUGCGCGAGUUGCGUACGCGCUUGCGGAACUACGACGAUUUCUAGUACCGGAUUACAACGACGACAUACGACAAGAGCAGAUGCUGGAGAUGCAGCUGCUUGCGCAGGCGCCGCGCUCGCCCCCCGCCACCCCGCCGCACCCCGCGCCUCGCCUCAGCCCCGCGCCCGAGGACCACAAACACAGGGCCGCAGGGCUGGCGUGCGCGCCGCUGGCGGGCGCCGCCCGCGACUAUUCACCGCCGCUACCCGCGGCGCCCGAGCACCAACAUCACCAGCUAGCAGCGAGCCAUGGAGUUCUGAUGGGUGGCGUGCUGCCGCCACACCUACUGCACAACUCCAUACUAGGUAGUAAUGGCGGGGAACUGCUGGGCCUGGGGUCGCCGGUGCUGCGGGGAGUGCUGCGCGCGCCGCCCGCGCCCCCCGCGCCCCCCGCGCCACAAGGUCGGUGCGGGUGGGGCUGCGACGGGUGCGGUGGUGGGGCGCAAGCGGCCGCUACUGGGCGCCGCGCGCGCUAACAUGUCGCCGACGAAGCGCGCCGUCAUCACGCUGCUCGCGCGCGCCCGCGCCGCCGCGCACCGCCGUCCGCCCGCUUGGCGACACGAACAUGGCGCCCUGCUGCCACUGCUGCGUGAGGAGUUUGCGGCGGCGGCGGGCGCGCCGCGCGUCAAUCUGGCGUAGUGCCCGCGCGAGCCUACCGUCGGCCUCGUA